AAGUUGUAACAAGGUUUCCGUAGGUGAACCUGUGGAAGGAUUAUUAAAACAAUACGCCUGAUGAAAGUGAGGUAAAACCAUCGAAUCUAGUGCUGUAUAUAACCACCUGUUUACCUUUACCUGUUGCUUCCAUGGAAUUACAGGUGCUCUUCCUGUUCGCAGGCUUGAGUUACCUUCCACGGGUGUAUUUUAAAAUUCGUUUUAUAUUAUUGUCUGAUUUAAAAUUUUAAUAAAAGUUAAAACUUUCAACAACGGAUCUCUAGGUUCUC
rnacentral:misc_RNA from 1 species